CACCAUUUAUUGUCUCGUCUUUCUUGUGCUCAAUUAUUAACACAAAUAUCUUGGAAUCACUCUUCAUCACAAAAUCAACUAGAACUAUAACAUUGAGAAAAGGAUAAAAGGAAGGUGGAAAGCUUAUUAUGGA
rfam:Picea glauca, whole genome shotgun sequence.